GAGACAUUGAGUCUAGAUCUUUAAUUAAUAGCUGGAGAUCAAUUGCAUAAUGCCUGAGCAAAUAGACACGUGCAUUUAUUAUCUGAAAACAAGAACUCUGCAAUUAGGGUCAUAAAGAAAAUGUCAGAAAACAAGAAGCAACAAAUACCCAUUGUGGAAUUAAUAAGAGCAGUAGUUCCCCUCCAGUGGUCACUGAGUAAGCAAACAUUCUGGUUAAAUAAACUGAAAUGGAGCAUAUCUGGGCAACACACUUACGUGCUGGGUCAAAGCAGAGGUUAAAUAAAAAUUUGUUUUAAAAAGACCCAAAAGAACACAAUAUGACUCCUUACCCCAUGUACCACAUGUUGUUAAAGGAGGGAAGAGGAGCAUUGGGUACAUUCAUGAGCGUGCUGCAGGACUUUGAAGCAGAGCUGUAAGGAAAGCAGGGAGCAUUUGUGUUUACCCCCGGCUCCUAGCAACUUCCCUGCUCACAACUAAUCUUUGGCAUGGAGGAUGUAUUGGCACUCGGCAGCCAAACACAACUCACUCCUGCCAACACCAUGGUGACGGUCUGACCCUUUCAGAAUACAUCAGCAUUAGGAUUUCAGAAGGGGCACAUUUUCAAGGUCGAUGUUUAUUUCAUGGAAAACUGCUACCUGAGGUUUCUGAGGUGCUGAUUCUUAAUUGGUCAUUACAAUAAAAACACGGAGUAAUUUCAUAUUAGACUGAUGCCUCAGCAUGUAAUCCCAAUCUAGGUCAUUUGAUGACCAAAGGAUUGUUGCAGCUUCAAAUGCAUACUUGCAUAUCUAGUACAGAGUUAGAUGCAUCCAGACACUUCAGAAUGAUUAUUAUUUCUACCUUUCUGUAAAUGACAUAAACCAAUCUCUAGUAGUUUGACUGUGGUUUGGAAGAUUUAUAUCCCUUAUUCUCACAGCUCUGUGGUGAUUAAUACAGCAGGGAUUUUGCGAGGCUAUAGAAAUGGCCCUGUGUAAUCAUGUGAGAAGGAACAAAUACUGACUCCAGGUUUCCCCAGCAGGUAAGAGCAGAAGUUAUUCACCGAGGUGAAAUAAAGGGAGUUUUGUCACUGCAAAAAAAAAAAAAAAAAAAGACUAAUGUAAGGACAAAGGCCUACUGAGGCCGAAUGGAAUCCAGCCACACUUUGAGGUGUUAACACAAAUGACCAACCCUGAAAGCAGUCAUGCUUUAUGGAGAUUUUCCUGCAUGAUGUACUGACAGAUAUUUUUUGCACAGUUUUACAGACAACCAUUUGAAUCUCCUGUAAGUCCUUCUGCCACAUCUCCUUGCCAUUAUACACAUCUCCAUUUCCAAUAUACCUUACUAAUCCAGUAAUUAACCAUAAAAAUAAAUUACUUGUAUAGAUUAUGUAACAGUAACAAGGCAGCAUGAGUCACUUUUCUUUGUUCUCAUUCACUAGCGAGCAACAGCAUGGGCUCAUUAGGUAGGAACCAGAAGUUCAAUAUGGAGUAAAUUCAGAUCUCAAGGCUAGAUAAUUUGGUCUCCAUUUGUUUGCCUUUGUUCUCUUUUGUUUCCAGAUUAAAAGGACACCAUGUACUUUUAGUUUCUUCAGGUAAAAGAGACAUCUGGGAGCUGCUCCUCUAUUGACUGCUGACAAGCGUUGGCUUAGAGCCUACACAAUAGCUGCACAUUUUGCUUUUGCGUUUAAUUUGGAUGGACAAUUUGAGUAGUCCCAGUAAAAAUAGGAAAUGGAUCUCUCUGACAAGCAGGCAACGAGAAACUGAGUCAGUAAUCCAUUGCCACAAUCAUCCAAAAGCCUUCAUGAGCAAUCAGAGAUAUAUUGUUGAAAAGGCACAACCUCUUGCUCUGUAACCACAAAAUCAGUGUAAUGACUAGGCCCAGAUCCAUAACAAUCUGGUUAGCUUGGGUCUAAUUUGUAACUUCGUAGAAUGGCACAAAUCCUGGAUACCCGUAUCCUAUCUCACAUACAAUCCUGCGCAUAAUCACAUAGUAGUAUUUAUACGCACAUUGAUAUGGCUGAACCUUCUACUGAGUGGAAGAAGGAUGAUUUAAUCCCUUGUAAGGCUUCCAAACCUUUGUGUGGGAGUGACUGUCACGUUUAUCGAUGAACACAAGACUGCGGCCUCAGGAAGACCCAGAACCUGAGGAGCUCUAAUGGGGAUUGAUACGCUGAACAUUCCCAGUAAGCCUGGUUGUGAUUUUACUCCAAUUUGUAUUUGUCUACUUUCAGAAGCUGAUAUCUCAAGAGUCACUGAGAAGCAGCCUCUUAAAGACAGCUGCUUUCAAAAUAAAAAUUCCUACCAAUAAGCAAUUACAUUCAGCUUUCAUCAGCCUUAUUGACUUAAAAUAAGUCGAUGUUUGUUUAAAAAAACAAACAGGGAGGUGCUACAGUUUCAAACAAAAUAAGAAUUUGUGUGUAGAGAUAGACCAGUUAGAUGAUUUUCAGAUUAAGCAUCAGGAUCAACUUCAGGUAAAGCUUUCAAAGGUAGCUUUGUACUUACUGAAAACGUGGUCAUCAGUUCUUAGAAAAGUUCAUCGUCAUGGUGGUAGAAAUUCCAUGUAAUUCAUUGAUGCCAUGGGGUUUCCACCACUAGGGGAGUCUAAUUUUCAGAAUUGCUUUAAUAACAACUAUCAAAAUCAGGUCACUUGAAAACAUCAUCAUUUAAUCAUCUGGAAAUUGGAGUGCCCAAAGUCAUUAGUCACACUGAAAAUGCUUGUGUUUCUAGCUGAUUUGGACCUGAGUUUGAUUAUAGAGAUUAGAGUUUGAAUACCUAAACUCCAAAUAUGAGACAUUAUCUGAGAUCAUAGGGGUGUUGUUAACUCUGAUUUCUUUUAUCUUUAUUCCAUCUGUAGUUCCAGCUCUGUAAAAUCACAGUUCUCUGAACCACAAUUACUAUACAUUUUAUGUAAAUGAAAUGGCAUUACAGUGCCAAUUGACUCGAGUCAAACUAACUAGCAAAGAAUUUAAUUAUAUCCAUUAUUAAAUGUUUGUGUUCCACAGAUCCAACUUCUUAAAAAUAACAAUGAUAAAUUUACAGAUUCCUGUAACCAUCUGUUGCACUCUCUCCAAGUCUAGCAGGGGGUGGAAAUCUUGCCGAAUUAAAAAUAUUGCUAUUUAAAGUCUUCCUUGUAUUCAUUUCCUUAGAUAUUUGAACUUAUUCAGUGGCAGAGCCAGCCUUAUGGUUUCUGUAACUUUGCUGGCUGCCGAACUUGGAGUCAUUUUAAACAACUCAGUGGAUUCUGACAGAAUUUAUUUUUUUUAAGCUAUAUCCUUCAACCACAGAUGUAAGUGGAUGAUCUUUUUUUCUUCUUCUUCAUCUUCUCCCUCUCUUUUUUAUUUCUUUUUUCUUUCCCCAAGUCUCAGAAAGCAGAAUUGCAAGGAGCUAAGAGAUGGAAGAGCUGACUUGCCAGUUUCUGGCUUCACUGCAGCCCAGAGUUGUUGCCUGGGUGAUUGUGUUCAUGGGAGGUCUUUAACUGGCAGAGCUGCCUGCUCAGUUUCACAGGCGCCACAACUACUUCAUUAUUUCAUCAAAGUUCAUUAUGUUGGGGAGGGUACCACCAAUAAAAUUAGAUUACAAUGAGCCCUUAAAGACAUAAUUCCUGGUUUUACCUUUUGCCAU
ensembl:lncRNA